AAAACGACUCUCGGCAACGGAUAUCUCGGCUCACGCAUCGAUGAAGAACGUAGCAAAAUGCGAUACUUGGUGUGAAUUGCAGAAUCCCGUGAACCAUCGAGUUUUUGAACGCAAGUUGCGCCCGAAGCCAUUCGGUCGAGGGCACGUCUGCCUGGGCGUCACGC
rnacentral:rRNA from 2 species